rnacentral:rRNA from 1 species
UACGUAGGGGGGCUAGCGUUGUCAGGAAUCAUUGGGCGUAAAGCGCGUGUAGGCGGCCCGGUAAGUCCGCUGUGAAAGUCGGGGGCUCGACCCUCGGAUGCCGGUGGAUACUGUCGGGCUCGAGUACGGAAGAGGCGAGUGGAAUUCCCGGUGUAGCGGUGAAAUGCGCAGAUAUCGGGAGGAACACCAAUGGCGAAGGCAGCUCGCUGGGACGUGACUGACGCUGAGACGCGAAAGCGUGGGGAGCAAACAGG